CCUACGGGGGGCAGCAGUGGGGGAUAUUGCACAAUGGGGGAAACCCUGAUGCAGCGACGCCGCGUGUGGGAAGACGGUCCUCUGGAUUGUAAACCACUGUCCCCAGGGACGAAGAUGACGGUACCUGGGGAGGAAGCUCCGGCUAACUACGUGCCAGCAGCAGCGGUAAUACGUAGGGAGCGAGCGUUGUCCGGAAUUACUGGGUGUAAAGGGAGCGUAGGCGGGGAUGCAAGUUGGGUGUCAAAACUACCGGCUCAACGGGUAGACGCACUCAAAACUGCAGCUCUUGAGUGAAGUAGAGGCGGGCGGAAUUCCAAGGGUAGCGGUGAAAUGCGUAGAGAUUAGGAGGAACACCAGUGGCGAAGGUGGCCUGCUGGGCUUUUACUGACGCUGAGGCUCGAAAGUGUGGGGAGCAAACAGGAUUAGAUACCCUUGUAGUC
rnacentral:rRNA from 1 species